UACCGAUAGAUGUGGAAGCGU
rnacentral:miRNA from 1 species